rnacentral:rRNA from 1 species
CCUACGGGUGGCUGCAGUCGAGGAUCUUCGGCAAUGGGCGCAAGCCUGACCGAGCGACGCCGCGUGUGCGAUGAAGGCCUUCGGGUUGUAAAGCACUGUCGAGGGGGAGGAAAGCCCGCAAGGGUCUGACCUAUCCCUGGAGGAAGGACGGGCUAAGUUCGUGCCAGCAGCCGCGGUAAGACGAACCGUCCUAACGUUGUUCGGAUUCACUGGGCUUAAAGGGCGCGUAGGCGGGUGAGCAAGUCCGGGGUGAAAUCUUUCGGCUUAACCGGAAAACUGCCUUGGAUACUGCUCGCCUAGAGGGAGGUAGGGGUCUGCGGAACUUCCGGUGGAGCGGUGAAAUGCGUUGAUAUCGGAAGGAACGCCGGUGGCGAAAGCGGCGGACUGGACCUCUUCUGACGCUGAGGCGCGAAAGCCAGGGGAGCAAACGGGAUUAGAUA